ACAAGUGAGAUGGGAAAUCCUUUCACAGCAAUCUUGCUGUCCCCAAAAGCUCUUUCCAGUAUUAAAACCCUGAUACUGAGGCUCAGCAAACCCCAAUGAUGAUGACAGGCUUGCACCCAAGAGACCUUUUAAAAACUUAGUUGGUGAUUUUUGUAAAACUUUUCCUUAAUUAUUGCAUUUCCCGCCCCAUAAAGUUUUACUGGGAGUGUGAAAACACCCGGCCCACAGUGGUGACAUUCCCCUUGCUGGCUCUCCGUACCACUCACUUGGUUGCCCACCUGACUCUGGAUUGCUCAGGAUGUGCCAGAAGAGCCUGCUCCUUGGAAAACAGACAUUCCAGCCUGGAGAAUUUGGCAGUUCUCCUCCACAUACAAUAUCCUUGCUGGCACCAGAUGAAGACUGCUGAGAUGAGCACUGCACAAGGAAUUGCUGGAAGACACCAGGAGCAAAUGGCAGGGGAAGGCUGACUAGUGGUGAGAAACCCAAAAUAUCUU